AGAAUGAACGCUGGCGGCGUGCUUAACACAUGCAAGUCGAGCGAGGCCAGGGGGGCAACUCCCUGAGUCGAGCGGCGGACGGGUGAGUAACACGUGGGUAACCUACCCGGAAGUGGGGAAUACCUCGGGGAAACUCGAGCUAAUACCGCAUAACAUCUCGAGGACGAAAGUUCUUGAGAUCAAAGCGGGGCCGCAAGGCCUCGUGCUACCGGAUGGGCCCGCGCCCGAUUAGCUAGUUGGCGAGGUAAUGGCUCACCAAGGCGACGAUC
rnacentral:rRNA from 1 species